GGGUGUGUAAGCGCAGCGAUGCGUUGAGCUAACCGGUACUAAUGAACCGUGAGGCUUAACCUUACAACGCCGAAGC
rnacentral:rRNA from 5 species